rnacentral:rRNA from 1 species
GAUGAACGCUGGCGGCGUGCCUAAUACAUGCAAGUCGAGCGAACAGACGAGGAGCUUGCUCCUCUGACGUUAGCGGCGGACGGGUGAGUAACACGUGGAUAACCUACCUAUAAGACUGGGAUAACUUCGGGAAACCGGAGCUAAUACCGGAUAAUAUAUUGAACCGCAUGGUUCAAUAGUGAAAGACGGUUUUGCUGUCACUUAUAGAUGGAUCCGCUCCGCAUUAGCUAGUUGGUAAGGUAACGGCUUACCAAGGCGACGAUGCGUAGCCGACCUGAGAGGGGAAUCGGCGCAGAGGGAACUGAGAAACGGUCCAGACUCCUACGGGAGGCAGAAGUAGGGAGUCUUCCGAAAUGGGCGAAAGCCAGAAGGAGCAACACCGCGGGAGUGAUGAAGGUCUUCGAAUCGUAAAACGCUGUUAUUAGGGAAGAACAAAGGUGUAAGUAACAAUGCACGUCUAGACGAUACCUAAUCAGAAAGCCACGGCUAACUAGGUG